rnacentral:rRNA from 1 species
UACGGAGGUGGCGAGCGUUGCUCGGAUUUACUGGGUGUAAAGGGCACGUAGGCGGUCCUAUAAGCCCUGCUUGAAAUGCUACGGCUCAACCAUAGCAUGCGGCAGGGGACUGCAGGACUUGAGGAUGAGAGAGGCGAGCGGAAUUCCCGGUGUAAGGGUGAAAUCUGUAGAUAUCGGGAGGAACACCAGUGGCGAAAGCGGCUCGCUGGCUCAUAUCUGACGCUGAGGUGCGAAAGCUAGGGGAGCAAACAGG